GAUCAUGGCUCAGGACGAACGCUGGCGGCGCGCCUAACACAUGCAAGUCGAACGGAGUUAUUUUCUUCACUCCGAGCUUUUUGCCAGUUAGCCAGAGCGGCAAUCGGUUUUGCCCAGCAUAAAAAGCAAAACCGAUUUAGGCUCACAAAGUAAGACUAACACUAGAGGGCAGAGAGUUGGGAGUGAAGAAAAUAACUUAGUGGCGAACGGGUGAGUAACGCGUGAGUAACCUGCCCUGGAGUGGGGGACAACAG
rnacentral:rRNA from 1 species